rnacentral:rRNA from 1 species
GACGAACGCUGGCGGCGCGCUUAACACACGCAUGUCGAACGGCGUGGCGAACGGGCGAGUAACACGGGGGUGACCUGCCCUGCACUUCGGGCUAAGCCUGGCAAACUGGGGCUCAUCCCGGAUAGUGUGGGAUGGGCCCGCGGCCGAUCAGCUUGUUGGUGGGGUAAUGGCCUACCAAGGCGGCGACGGGUAGCCGGCCUGAGAGGGUGGACGGCCACAGUGGUACUGGUACACGUCCCAGACUCCGACGUGAAGCAGCAGUGGGGAAUAUUGCACAAUGGGCGGAAGCGUGAUGCAGCGACGCCGCGUGGGGGAUGACGGCCGUCGGGUUGUAAACUCCUGUCACCAUCGACGCGGUAGAUGGAGAAGAGGGAAAGGCGAACUACGGGCCAGCAGCCGCGGUAAUUC